rnacentral:rRNA from 1 species
UACGGAAGGCAGCAGUGGGGAAUAUUGCACAAUGGGCGAAAGCCUGAUGCAGCUAUGCCGCGUGUAUGAAGAAGGCCUUAGGGUUGUAAAGUACUUUCAUCGGGGAGGAAAAAACAAAACUAAUAAUUUUAUUUCUUGACGUUACCCGAAAAAGAAGCACCGGCUAACUCCGUGCCAGCAGCCGCGGUAAUACGGAGGGUGCUAGCGUUAAUCAGAAUUACUGGGCGUAAAGAGCACGUAGGUGGUUUUUUUAAGUCAGAUGUGAAAUCCCUGGGCUUAACCUGGAACUGCAUUUUGAAACUGAAAUACUAGAGUAUCGUAGAGGGAGGUAGAAUUCUAGGUGUAGCGGUGAAAUGCGUAGAUAUCUGGAGGAAUACCUGUGGUGAAAGCGGCCUCCUAAACGAAUACUGACACUGAGGUGCGAAAGCGUGGGGAGCAAACAGGGAUUAGAUACC